UACGUAGGGGGCAAGCGUUGUCCGGAAUCAUUGGGCGUAAAGAGCGUGUAGGCGGCCGGCUAAGUCCGCUGUGAAAUCUCGAGGCUCAACUUCGAGCUGUCGGUGGAAACUGUCUGGCUAGAGUCCGGAAGAGGAGAAUGGAAUUCCUGGUGUAGCGGUGAAAUGCGCAGAUAUCAGGAAGAACACCCGUGGCGAAGGCGGUUCUCUGGGACGGUACUGACGCUGAGACGCGAAAGCGUGGGGAGCGAACAGG
rnacentral:rRNA from 1 species